rnacentral:rRNA from 1 species
GUAGCUGGCCUUCCGAGGCAUGUGCACGCCCUGCUCAAUCCACUCUACACCUGUGCACUUACUGUAGGUUUCUUGGUUGCGUUGGGUCUCUUCACUGGGGCUCGGCAAAGCCGAGGGGCUUAUGUCUUACUACAAACUAUAAAGUAAAUGAAUGUAUACCGCGUCUAACGCAUCUAUAUACAACUUUCAGCAACGGAUCUCUUGGCUCUCGCAUCGAUGAAGAACGCAGCGAAAUGCGAUAAGUAAUGUGAAUUGCAGAAUUCAGUGAAUCAUCGAAUCUUUGAACGCACCUUGCGCUCCUUGGUAUUCCGAGGAGCAUGCCUGUUUGAGUGUCAUGAAAUUCUCAACCUACAAGCCUUUUCGGAGGUCCUUGUACGGCUUGGACUUGGAGGGUCAUUGUCGGCAGUGAUGUCGGCUCCUCUUAAACGCAUUAGCUAGUUCUCGCGGAACGGCUUUCGGUGUGAUAAUUGUCUACGCCGUGGUCGUGCCGGGUAUAUGGACAAGCUUCUAAACCGUCACUCCUUGUGAGGGACACAUAUCUUGACAUCUGACCUCAAAUCAGGUAGGACUACCCGCUGAACUUAAGCAUAUCAAUAAGCGGAGGAAAAGAAACUAACAAGGAUUCCCCUAGUAACUGCGAGUGAAGCGGGAAAAGCUCAAAUUUAAAAUCUGGCGGUCUUUGGCCGUCCGAGUUGUAGUC